GAGGUCUGUGGUGCCCUGAUGGAGAUGCUGGGGGAGCCUGGUGGUGUCUGUGAGGCCAGCCUGUCUGGCAAAAUCCUACAAACUCUUAUUUACCUGUGUAAUGUGAGCAAUCCCACUGACUGCAAUAAGAUCACUUGUAAAUAAAGAAAAACUGCAAGAAAACAAAAUCAACAGGGCAGAACCUCAUAAAACAAGCAGAGAAAACAGAAUGAAAUCCAUAGAAGAUUCACCACCACCCCCUACCACCCCCCAAAAAUGUACAGAUAAGCUACAGACAGUUGAAGAGAUGGAGAAUAAACUGGAUUUAAUGGAGGACCUGAAGAUGGGAUGGGCUUUGGAAAAGCCAAUCAUUUAGGUAAGGGAAGACAUGUAUCCUGUUCUCCUCAAGAAUGCCACCACCACUGCCAUGAAUUUUGUGAACAUGCGAGGAGCUGAUGUUACCACGAAGCUCAGAAACUUCCUGUGACUGGGUAGGGCUGAGAUGUGAAAGUGAGCAUCAUGAAAAUCAAGGGGAGAAAACCAAUUGUUUUGAUCCAUGGAGGGAAUGACAGAUGCUGGAGAAACCAUGCAGAAUCUCAUGUACUUGAUAAAUUUGAGAUUGCAAAGGUCCAAAAUGGGCCUUAGACUACCCUUUGAUUUGGGAAUUAGAAAAAAUAAAAUGGAUGU